rnacentral:rRNA from 1 species
GAUGAACGCUGGCGGCGUGCCUAAUACAUGCAAGUCGAGCGAACGGACGAGAAGCUUGCUUCUCUGAUGUUAGCGGCGGACGGGUGAGUAACACGUGGAUAACCUACCUAUACGACUGGGAUAACUUCGGGAAACCGGAGCUAAUACCGGAUAAUAUUUUGAACCGCAUGGUUCCAAAGUGAAAGACGGUCUUGCUGUCACUUAUAGAUUGAUCCGCGCUGCAUUAGCUAGUUGGUGAGGUAACGGCUUACCAAGGCAACGAUGCAUAUCCGACCUGAGAGGGUGAACGGCCAGACUGGCACUGAGAAGGGGUCCAGACACUGAGGGGAGGAAGCAGUAGAGAAUCUUACGCGAUGGGCGAAAGCCGGACGGAGGAACACGGGGUGAAGGAUGAAGGUCUUAGGAUCGGAAAACUCUGUUAUUAGGGAAGAACAUAAGUGUAAGUAACUGGGCACAUCUUGACGGUACCGAAUCAGAAAGCCACGGCUAACUACGUG